CAGGACGAACGCUGGCGGCGUGCCUAAUACAUGCAAGUCGAGCGGACUUGANGGAGUGCUUGCACUCCUGANAGUUAGCGGCGGACGGGUGAGUAACACGUAGGCAACCUGCCCUNAAGACUGGGAUAACUACCGGAAACGGUAGCUAAUACCGGAUAAUUUAUUWCAYAGCAUURUGKNAUAAUGAAAGACGGAGCAAUCUGUCACUUGGGGAUGGGCCUGCGGCGCAUUAGCUAGUUGGUGGGGUAAYGGCYCACCAAGGCGACGAUGCGUAGCCGACCUGAGAGGGUGAACGGCCACACUGGGACUGAGACACGGCCCAGACUCCUACGGGAGGCAGCAGUAGGGAAUCUUCCGCAAUGGGCGAAAGCCUGACGGAGCAACGCCGCGUGAGUGAUGAAGGUUUUCGGAUCGUAAAGCUCUGUUGCCAAGGAAGAACGUCUCAUAGAGUAACUGCUAUGAGAGUGACGGUACUUGAGAAGAAAGCCCCGGCUAACUACGUGCCAGCAGCCGCGGUAAUACGUAGGGGGCAAGCGUUGUCCGGAAUUAUUGGGCGUAAAGCGCGCGCAGGCGGUUCUUUAAGUCUGGUGUUUAAACCUGGGGCUCAACUUCAGGUCGCACUGGAAACUGGGGRACUUGAGUGCAGAAGAGGAGAGUGGAAUUCCACGUGUAGCGGUGAAAUGCGUAGAUAUGUGGAGGAACACCAGUGGCGAAGGCGACUCUCUGGGCUGUAACUGACGCUGAGGCGC
rnacentral:rRNA from 1 species